CUUAACGGAGUUUUUUAAAGUAUGUUUUUGUACCGAAAGGUUUUGAUCUUAGAUUUAGUUGUUUAGAAGUGUUGUUUGGUCUGGGUAAGGUCUUGUAAACUAAAUUUAUGUGGUGAUAAGUGAGUCGUAAAGCUUUAUAACUGUUUGGUUGUUUAGAAUUUAGUGGGAUGUAGGUGGCUAUUAGGUCAUUUAUAUUUUUAUACAUUUGGUGAUGUGUGGUUUUUGAUAAGGUUAGAGGUACCUAGUUUUUGUUAUAUUGUUGUAAAUAUGGUUUUGUUGGUUUAUUGGUAUGUUAAUUGUUUGAACAACUGUUUUGUUAUAUUUGGUUAUUAUAUUAUCGUUGAAUAAGUAAUUUUAUUAUGCUAUUUAUUUCUUGAGUUCUUUCCGUCUGUUUAUUAAAAACAUUUCUAAUUUUAAUUGUAGUUAGUAGUGCCUGCCCAAUGUUGGUUAAUUAAUGGCCGCAGUAUAUUGACUGUGCAAAGGUAGCAUAAUUAAUUGCCUUUUAAUUGGAGGCUUGUUUGAAUGGUUUGACGUGAUUGGUAUGAAUAUUUGGUAUUUAGUUGAAAUUGAUUUUGAGGGUUUAGAAUCCUUAAUGUUUAAUAAGACGGAAAGACCCUAGGAUCUUUUGUUUUUGUUUGGGGCAAAUAUUGUUGUUUUAUGAAUAUUGUGACCCU
rnacentral:rRNA from 1 species